AUUGAACGCUGGCGGCAUGCUUUACACAUGCAAGUCGAACGGUAACAGGCCGCAAGGUGCUGACGAGUGGCGAACGGGUGAGUAAUGCAUCGGAACGUGCCCAGUCGUGGGGGAUAACGCAGCGAAAGCUGUGCUAAUACCGCAUACGAUCUAUGGAUGAAAGCGGGGGACCGUAAGGCCUCGCGCGAUUGGAGCGGCCGAUGUCAGAUUAGCUAGUUGGUGAGGUAAAGGCUCACCAAGGCGACGAUCUGUAGCUGGUCUGAGAGGACGACCAGCCACACUGGAACUGAGACACGGUCCAGACUCCUACGGGAGGCAGCAGUGGGGAAUUUUGGGCAAUGGGCGCAAGCCUGAUCCAGCAAUGCCGCGUGCAGGAUGAAGGCCUUCGGGUUGUAAACUGCUUUUGUACGGAACGAAACGGCGAGCUCUAAUACAGUUUGCUAAUGACGGUACCGUAAGAAUAAGCACCGGCUAACUACGUGCCAGCCGCCGCGGUAAAAC
rnacentral:rRNA from 1 species